UACAGAGGGGGCAAGCGUUGUUCGGAAUUACUGGGCGUAAAGGGCGCGUAGGUGGCCUUCUAAGUUGAACGUGAAAUCCCUGGGCUCAACCCAGGAACUGCGUCCAAGACUGGGAGGCUUGAAUCCGGGAGAGGGAUGCGGAAUUCCAGGUGUAGCGGUGAAAUACGUAGAUAUCUGGAGGAACACCGGUGGCGAAGGCGGCAUCCUGGACCGGUAUUGACACUGAGGCGCGAAAGCCAGGGGAGCAAACGGG
rnacentral:rRNA from 1 species